UAGGGAAUCUUCCACAAUGGACGCAAGUCUGAUGGAGCAACGCCGCGUGAGUGAAGAAGGUCUUCGGAUCGUAAAGCUCUGUUGUUGGUGAAGAAGGAUAGAGGCAGUAACUGGUCUUUAUUUGACGGUAAUCAACCAGAAAGUCACGGCUAACUACGUGCCAGCAGCCGCGGUAAUACGUAGGUGGCAAGCGUUGUCCGGAUUUAUUGGGCGUAAAGCGAGCGCAGGCGGAAUGAUAAGUCUGAUGUGAAAGCCCACGGCUCAACCGUGGAACUGCAUCGGAAACUGUCAUUCUUGAGUGCAGAAGAGGAGAGUGGAACUCCAUGUGUAGCGGUGGAAUGCGUAGAUAUAUGGAAGAACACCAGUGGCGAAGGCGGCUCUCUGGUCUGCAAACUGACGCUGAGGCUCGAAAAGCAUGGGUAGCGAACAGGAUUAGAUACCCUGGUAGUCCAUGCCGUAAAACGAUGAGCGCUAGGUGUUGGGGACUUUCCGGUCCUCAGUGCCGCAGCAAACGCAUUAAGCGCUCCGCCUGGGGAGUACGACCGCAAGGUUGAAGC
rnacentral:rRNA from 1 species